GGCAUCUGUGAUGAAAAUUUGGCUCUCUACUGAAACAAGUGAGGAAAGAUGCCUGAAUUGUUACUCAAAUCUUCUGAGAUGCA
rnacentral:snoRNA from 1 species